CGUGUAGGCUGUUUAUUAAGUCUGAUGUGAAAGCCCUGGGCUCAACCUGGGAAGUGCAUUGGAUACUGGUAGACUUGAGUACGGGAGAGGGCAGUGGAAUUCCCAGUGUAGGAGUGAAAUCCGUAGAUAUUGGGAGGAACACCGGUGGCGAAGGCGGCUGCCUGGACCGAUACUGACGCUGAGACGCGAAAGCGUGGGGAGCAAACA
rnacentral:rRNA from 1 species